rnacentral:rRNA from 1 species
UACGGAGGGUGCGAGCGUUGUCCGGAAUCACUGGGCGUAAAGGGCGCGUAGGUGGCUCGUGAAGCGUGCGGUGAAAGUCCGGGGCUCAACCCCGGAUCGGCCGUGCGGACUGGGGAGCUCGAGUUCUGUAGAGGCGGGUGGAAUUCCGGGUGUAGCGGUGGAAUGCGUAGAGAUCCGGAAGAACACCGGUGGCGAAGGCGGCCCGCUGGGCAGAGACUGACGCUGAGGCGCGACAGCGUGGGGAGCAAACAGG